ACUCCUACGGGAGGCAGCAGUGGGGAAUAUUGGACAAUGGGCGCAAGCCUGAUCCAGCCAUGCCGCGUGAGUGAUGAAGGCCCUAGGGUUGUAAAGCUCUUUCACCGGAGAAGAUAAUGACGGUAUCCGGAGAAGAAGCCCCGGCUAACUUCGUGCCAGCAGCCGCGGUAAUACGAAGGGGGCUAGCGUUGUUCGGAAUUACUGGGCGUAAAGCGCACGUAGGCGGAUCGAUCAGUCAGGGGUGAAAUCCCAGGGCUCAACCCUGGAACUGCCUUUGAUACUGUCGAUCUGGAGUAUGGAAGAGGUGAGUGGAAUUCCGAGUGUAGAGGUGAAAUUCGUAGAUAUUCGGAGGAACACCAGUGGCGAAGGCGGCUCACUGGUCCAUUACUGACGCUGAGGUGCGAAAGCGUGGGGAGCAAACAGGAUUAGAAACCCUAGUAGUCCCAUG
rnacentral:rRNA from 1 species